AUGGUUAUUGUUAGUUUCAGUUUCUGUUGCUGGAAUGUACGUGGACUUGGGCAGCCCGUCAAGUGCUCAGAUGUGCUUUCUGAGCUCAUUGCGAUUAAACCCGCCGCUUGCUUUCUCCAAGAGACUAAGCUCAGCUCUAUCCCUCCUCUAAAGUUGAAAAGCUUCCUACCACGCCACCUAGAUCUUCACCACAUUCUUCCCUCUUCUGGGUCCGCUGGAGGCACGCUCUCUGCCUUCUCCUCGGCUCACUUCUCGCUGCUAACUUUGGACGCUGGCCUCUACACCCAGAAUUCCCAAAUCUCGUGUCUCGCCUCCCCACACCCCCUGACCAUCACCAAUGUUUAUGCUCCUAUGGACCACUCCCAAAAAUCAGCUUUCCUCUCAGAGCUCGCCAUCUGCUCCCCUCCUGCUAACUUGCCCUGGAUCAUCUUAGGGGACUUUAAUCUUCUACGCCUCUCGUCCGACAAGAAUACCGCUCUCCGUCAAUCUAAGGCUGACAUGUUCAACGCCUUCAUCCACGCCCAUGCCCUUAUUGAGCUUCCUCUUCUUGAUCGCUGCUUCACCUGGUCCAGCAAACGUGACAAACCCACACUAGAAAAGUUUGACAGGGUUUUCAUCAACAUUGAUUGGGACCUCCUUUUUCCGAAUACUACAAUUGCCUCCCUGACUCGUUUCGUCUCUGACCACGUCCCCCUCAUCAUCUCGAUCGACACUUCUAUCCCCCGUCCCGCGCUUUUCCGUUUUGAAAACAGCUGGGCCCUGAGGCCUGGUUGUCGCCCCACCGUCCUCUCGUCCUAG
rnacentral:rRNA from 1 species